GAGAAAUUGUAAGGUUUGUAUAAUAGAGUUGUUGAGAGAAAAUAGCUUUAUUUUAUGAAAUAUAUGUUGUGAGAUAUAUGAAAGUUUGUUUAUUUGAGUGAAAAGUGAUAUACUAUCACAACUUCUACCCAUCACUUAACUCGAAUGAAUAAAAGCCUAGAGGCAAGAGAGUUUGAAUGUAUCUGAGUAUAUUCCUUCUCUUGUAACAAAGAUCUGUUUAGAAUGUGAUUUAUAAUCGUAAUUUAAAUAAGCUAGCGAGUGUGAAUGAACUCUUAAGUAUCAAGACGCGAAAAUUAGUGGCUUUCUUAUUGCUAUAUAUAGUUCUUGCCUUGAACCCAUUUUCCCUUAGUUGAGCAAUUAGAAGUAGUGCUUCAAUGUUUCAUUGAGCGGAGAACUAGUAUUUUUAAGUACCUAUGAUUUGUAUAUUUUCUCUUUGGGUGUCCAUAUGGUAAUGGUUGUAAGGGUUAAAUAUUAUACAUAAAAUAGAAAUUGUCUUAAUAAUGAUAUUAUAAUGUAAGAUCCUAUUUAUUACAAUGUAGAAGGCCUUAUUUAUAGGGUUGCAAAUAACUGUAAAAGGUAAUAAUUAAAAAGGAAAUAUUGUAUAAUAAUUACAGAAUCAACUUUUAAAGAAAAUAAUCCUACAUAAUUGGAAUAAUAUAAU
rnacentral:lncRNA from 1 species